GUCCCUGGAAGUUCAAAUGGUCAAACGCUUGGCUACUAACUGAAAGGUUGGUGGUUCAAACCCACCCAGAGAUG
rnacentral:tRNA from 1 species